GUUUUUUUAUAAAAAUCCCUAUAGUUUUUCGUAUUGAACCCGCACUCCUUUAUAAGUGAAAAAACGUUUCGUUCGGCAACUUUACAGAUAAAUUCCUAUACUUUACGGUAUUCAACCCGCAGCCCAGAACGGGCUCUCCUCUCUCUACCUCGCCUCCCGAUCCAGCCGCUAGGAGGCGCCCCACCCGCGCGACGCUCAAUCCAUUGCCGCGCCGGCCACCGGCGCCGGCGAGCGCAACACCCUACACCAGUUAAGCCUCAGAUCCUCCUCUCCUCCGCCCGCCCGAGCUCCUCGCUGUGAGCCGCCCGGGAGGGCUUGCCCUCGCCGCUCGACCAGAGCCACCGCCAGCCGGUCGUCGUUGCACUUGCCGGCGACCUCGCCGCCCCCUCUGCGCCGCCGUCCAUCUCAACUAAAGGUUAACGAGGCUCGGCUGGGCCUAGCUCGGGCGGCUGGGUACCUCCUGUUCGAACAAAGAGAGAGAUAAGAGAGAGCACGAGAUGGAGGAAUGGGAAAAUGAGAGGAAGGAGAGGAAGGAGAGGGAGAGGAGGAAGGCAGGGUGGCGCUUGGGGAGCUGGUUCUGGCGGGGCUCGCCGACGUCGAGGUGGCGAGGCGAGGCAGGGGGCUGGCUCUCCCGAUCCCGAUCCAGAGGGGAUUGAGGCUGGGAGUGGGCGGCGAUGGCUGAGGGCGGCCUCUCCCUAUCCAUCCUUCCUAUCUCUGUCGAGGCCAUGAGCUCAUCGGCCAGGCAUAGGCGCUCAUCGAUCUAAAAAAAAGGCACCAAACCACUCGAACCUCUCCCAUGUCCCUUUCUUCUCCAUCUUCCAAUAUACUCUGUUAUGAAGUUCUAACAGUACAUCAAUCAAUGCAAGCAACUCUUUUCAGAUUAAUUAAGGAAUCAAUCUCCCAUGGUGGAUGCUUGAUGCAGCAGAGGGGGCCAGAAUGAAGUGCCGUCGUGGUGGUGCGCGGCUAGCGCACAACCCUCACCAUGGCUGUGGUUUCAGGCGCCUCCACACUGGCGUGGCUCCGGUGCCUCCGGCGGCUCCUCUCCGACGCCCAUCGCGCCCACACACGCACCUUUUCUGUCUCUAAUAUCUGGUUUGAUCCUCCAUGGUAGAUGUGCAUGGCAAGGAUUGGAUGCUUGAGGCAGGAGGGGUCGACCUUGCCCUGCUGCAGCUCAGGACGCUCCACCCAUGGAGCUUUCUCCUUUCUGUCUUCAGUUGAUAAUUGCCAAUCAGAUCAGCUUAACUGACCACGCGAACAAUCAUUAAAUGAAUCGGUCAGCGGGGAGAUGUUUAAUCUAGGGCAGAUUUUGUAUGGAUGACAACUUCUUAAUUAGAUUGGGCGCUUCCGGUGAGCCUAUCGGGCGUACAAACUACAUUCCUGCCCCAACUAUGCAGGCAAGUGAUCCUUAUCCUUCGAUUCACUUCUCUAAUUUCCAAUCCGAUGAAUUCAUCGACCAAGCCCCACAAAUCGGCUGAUGUCUGAUUUAUAAUGCAAUAAAAAAAUGUUUUGUAGUUCUAUUGACAAUCAUACUGUUGGCCAGAUUAUGAGCUGAAGGAAGGAGAUUUGUUCUCCAUCGCCCCAAGCAGCACCAUAAAAUAUUUGCAGUAGGGAUGCGCUCCCUGAAUUAACUAAUCAUCAAACACCGGACAACCAGUUCACUUCGAAUCCAAGUCACUUGGAUGUUUCUUGAAGGCUUUAGAGAUGUUUUUCCAUGUAACCUUAACUAACCUGACCUUCAUUGUGUGUACUGAGUAGAAGUAUGGCUUCAGGUAUGCUACAUUGCUACCCAGCAUAUAUAAAUUUGAAUAUGCAUGAAGUUUGCUAAAUCACACUUUGCAGCAGAAACUUUCAGAGAAAGGUAUUCUGCAAACGUAUAUGCAUGACUGCCCGGAUAUAUGGCACAAAUACGUUUUGCAUAUACUAAUAUAAUCUGUCUAAAUUUUUGACUAAUUUAAUAACCACCAGUUGCCAGUAAGUUCUAAAUAUCAAUACCAAUUGAAAUGCAUAUGCCGCUGCAGAUUCAACUCAAGAGUCUACACUCAUGUAGGUAUGUCACUGAUUUAUCUCUAUACAUGGUUCAAUCUUCCUGUUACAGGCAAAUCUUAAUAAAAAAGGCCAUUGUUCUUCGGGACAGGUGAGAAAUAAUGUGUUCUUUUCAGAAGAGUAUAGAUGAAAAUGUGUUGAUGUAAAGUUUUCAGUUUGCAAAUGCUCAUGCCCUUAUAUGUGAUUUUGGAAAAAAAAAAUGAGACCUGGGUGACUAGGUAAAAGUUUCUCUUGAAUUUGGUUUGUAGUUUGCUUGAAUAGGAGGUUUCGUCAAUUAGUGCACACGCAUUACAUAUAGCACAUAGUGUGUCAAUGUUACCAACAAAUGAUUUGUCAAAGUGAAAUAAUAAAUCAAGAGUGUCUCUUAUUUACAAAAAUAAUUAAGAUGAGCCAAAGGUAAAGGAUGGUGAGAGCUUAUUAAGAACCAUGUAUAUGUGUAGGAAAACUGGGAUGAACUAUCAAAGGUAAGAUGGUCCUCCAAGUGUUUUCGUAUCAAAGAAGCAACACUAACUUUGAUCAUUUAGUAAAGUACUUAAAUUAGGUCUGUUUGUCUUAUAUUGUACAGUAGCUAUUUCAAAAAAAUAUGAAGUGUAUAUAUAUAGGAAUGUCUACUGCUAUUUAGUCCUCCCAUGCAGUCUUUAGGUGUAUUAUUUUUUUCUGAUAAAAGAAGUUUGUUGAGAAAUCCUAAUAUAUGAUCAGUCUGGCUUUUUCUCUAUGCAAAAGAUGUUUGUACUGCAGACUGCAUCAAACUGACGCCAUACUAUUAUGUUGCUUCUUUUCCUCAACUUUUACAUUUUUCUAUGCUAUUUAUUGGUUCGUCCAUGAAAUUUGUAUGUGAUAUCUCAGAGACUUAUUUAUUUCAGUCUCUAUUACUGAACUGAUUGGUUUCAUUCAUCCUUUGAUGGAAGGCAAAAAGGUUAUGUUUA